rnacentral:rRNA from 1 species
AUGCAACUGCUAGAUUUUGGUGUCUGCAUGAAUUUGGUAUUUUCCUGUGGUGAUCUUAUCAACUUGCGGCAUGUAUGCAGCGGUCCUGGAUUGCAAUUUUCAAACAUCGGUAGGCUUGUCUCACUCCAAACAAUCCCAGCAUUCAAAGUAAGUCAUGAACAAGGACAUGAGGCAAAGCAGUUGAGGUACCUAAACAGGCUCAGCGGCGAACUGAGUAUAUAUGGUCUCCAAAGUGUUGAAAGCAGAGAGGAAGCUCUUGCAUUCGAUCUAGCUGCCAAGAAACGGCUCGCAGAACUAACACUAUCAUUCGGUGGAAGUUCAGAAGUUGCAGCAGAGGUACUUGAGGGCCUUUGUCCUCCCGUGGGGCUUGUAACACUCGACAUCCGUGACUACGAUGGUUUGGUAUACCCAAAGUGGAUGGUGGGCAGGCAAAAUGGCGCACCAGAGAAGCUGCAACAACUUGGUCUCUCAGGAUGGAGCCAGCCAGGACCUGCUCCUGCACUGAAGGCUUUCAAUCAUCUUCGUUGCCUCAAUCUGAUGCACUGCAGCUGGAACGCCUUGCCAUGCAAUAUGGAGCACCUCAGCUCGCUCGAAACAGUAAUCAUUAUUAAAUGUUUGAAUAUCCGGUCGCUUCCAACGCUGCCACAGUCUCUUACGUAUUUUUGGCUCCUGAAGUGCGACGAUGGGUUCAUGGAGUCUUGUCAAACAGUUGGACAUCCAAACUGGAAAAAGAUUCAACACAUCUGCAGGAAAUAUUUUAGUGAAUGA